rnacentral:rRNA from 1 species
CCUACGGGAGGCAGCAGUGGGGAAUAUUGCACAAUGGGGGAAACUCUGAUGCAGCGACGCCGCGUGAGUGAAGAAGUAUUUCGGUAUGUAAAGCUCUGUCAGCAGGGAAGAAAAUGACGGUCCCUGACCAAGAAGCCCUGGACAACUACGUGCAAGCAGCCGCGGUAAAACGUAGGGGGAAAGCGUUAUCCGGAUUUACUGGGUGGAAAGGGAGCGUGGACGGCAGGGCAAGUCUGGAGUGAAAGGCGGGGGCUCAACCCCCGGACUGCUCUGGAAACUGCCAGGCUGGAGUGCAGGAGAGGUAAGUGGAAUUCCUAGUGUAGCGGUGAAAUGCGUAGAGAUCAAGAGGAAUACUCAUUGCGAAGGCGACCUGCUAGAACAUAACUGACGCUGAUGCGCGAAAGCGUGGGGAGCAAACAGGAUUAGAUACCCGAGUAGUC